rnacentral:rRNA from 1 species
CGCGGCCUAUCAGCUUGUUGGUGGGGUAAUGGCUCACCAAGGCUUCGACGGGUAGCCGGCCUGAGAGGGCGACCGGCCACACUGGGACUGAGAUACGGCCCAGACUCCUACGGGAGGCAGCAGUGGGGAAUAUUGCACAAUGGGCGGAAGCCUGAUGCAGCAACGCCGCGUGCGGGAUGACGGCCUUCGGGUUGUAAACCGCUUUCAUCCAUGACGGAGCUAACGUGACGGUAGUGGGAGAAGAAGCACCGGCCAACUACGUGCCAGCAGCCGCGGUGAUACGUAGGGUGCGAGCGUUGUCCGGAAUUAUUGGGCGUAAAGAGCUUGUAGGCGGUCUGUCGCGUCGGGUGUGAAAUCCCAGGGCUUAACCCUGGGUCUGCUUCCGAUACGGGCUGACUAGAGGGAGGUAGGGGAGAACGGAAUUCCUGGUGGAGCGGUGGAAUGCGCAGAUAUCAGGAGGAACACCGGUGGCGAAGGCGGUUCUCUGGACCUUUCCUGACGCUGAGAAGCGAAAGCGUGGGGAGCAAACAGGCUUAGAUACCCUGGUAGUCCACGCCGUAAACGGUGGGCACUAGGUGUGGGGCUCAUUCCACGAGUUCCGUGCCGUGGCUAACGCAUUAAGUGCCCCGCCUGGGGAGUACGG